rnacentral:rRNA from 1 species
UACGGAAGGGGCAAGCGUUGUUCGGAAUCAUUGGGCGUAAAGGGCGCGUAGGUGGUUUUGUAUGUCUACCGUGAAAGCAUGCAGCUCAACUGUAUUUUGUCGGUAGAAACUGCAGGACUUGAGGCUGGGAGGGGCUGGUGGAAUUCCCUGUGUAGCGGUGAAAUGCGUAGAGAUGGGGGAGAACACUCGUGGCGAAGGCGGCCAGCUAGACCAGUUCUGACACUGAGGCGCGACAGCGUGGGGAGCAAACAGGAUUAGA